rnacentral:rRNA from 1 species
GAUGAACGCUGGCGGCGUGCCUAAUACAUGCAAGUCGAGCGAACGGACGAGAAGCUUGCUUCUCUGAUGUUAGCGGCGGACGGGUGAGUAACACGUGGAUAACCUACCUAUAAGACUGGGAUAACUUCGGGAAACCGGAGCUAAUACCGGAUAAUAUUUUGAACCGCAUGGUUCAAAAGUGAAAGACGGUCUUGCUGUCACUUAUAGAUGGAUCCGCGCUGCAUUAGCUAGUUGGUAAGGUAACGGCUUACCAAGGCAACGAUGCAUAGCCGACCUGAGAGGGUGAUCGGCCACACUGGAACUGAGACACGGUCCAGACUCCUACGGGAGGCAGCAGUAGGGAAUCAUCCGCAAUGGGCGAAAGCCUGACGGAGCAACGCCGCGUGAGUGAUGAAGGUCUUCGGAUCGUAAAACUCUGUUAUUAGGGAAGAACAUAUGUGUAAGUAACUGUGCACAUCUUGACGGUACCUAAUCAGAAAGCCACGGCUAACUACGUG